GGCUGGUCCGAAGGUAAUAACUUAUCUCAACUGAUUGUUCACAGCUACAGAUCGAACUCCUUGUUCGACUCUUUCCCCCUUUCUCACUACUGCACUUGACUAGUCUAAA
rnacentral:Y_RNA from 1 species